rfam:Mycoplasma sp. (ex Biomphalaria glabrata), complete genome.
GGCGGGGUAGCUCAGCGGCAGAGCAUCCGGUUCAUACCCGGAGUGUCGUGAGUUCAAAUCUCACCUCCGCUA